GGGAAGAGAAUUAAAAUACAUUGUGCUGUUCAGGCGACAGCCAUUACAAAAGCCACAACUGUCCAUAAAUAUCCUGGGAGAAACAGAUUGUCUUCUCUCACAGUAAAUAAGAGAGAAAACCUUGUCAGGUUGGAGGAGUAAAGAAAAGAGGCUUCUCAGGCUCAUCUCCCUGUCUUUGGGUUGUGCUAUGAACUGUUGUACCAGGCAACCCAAAAAGGCACUUUCAGCAGUAAUUUAUUGUGUGUGUGUUGGAAGCUUAGCAUUUUUUCCAUCUUGCUUUUGCCUUUUUUCUCCACAUUCUAGUGUCGGGCAGGUGCCUGGGCGCAGAGCCACAGCCAGAUGCUGUUCCCCACCCCAAUCCCUAACCCCAGGGGUGCCGUGCUGCUGCCCUCACCCCUCGCUCAGGGGAGGGUAAAGUCUGUGUGGCACUAAGUCAGCCAGACACCUGCAGGCCAUCUCUUCAGCUCAGUGCUUUUCCUUUGUGCCUCCAUGCUUUACAGAAGAAAGCCAUGCUAAGUGCAUAAACGAACAACAGGAAAGCAGCUGUUCAUUUAUUUAUUUAUUUACUUAUUUUGGUAAAUAAUGCUUGCAAAAACAGCAGCUUGCCAACCAGCCGUGACCAUCAUGGUUUCCUUCCUUUCCUCGCAAGCAAGGCUGAAACCUUUCCUUUGUAAACCCCGCACAGGUUUGUACAUCUCUCCUUGACGCGAGCUGGGACAACCUGAGCCGCGACCAAAAGGGCCAUGAGGGAAGGGCAUGAGGGAAGGACAGCGGCUCGGCACGGCCCGGCACGGCUCCCAACACCUCCGGGAACUCUCUCCCGGCUGCCAAGCGGGGAAACCCCCGGUAUCCCCGCGGCCUCCGGGCCAGGAGGCGCCUGCCGGGGCCGCCAGGGGUCGCCGCAGCGGGGCGGCCGCUUCAAAGCGGGCGGGCGGCAGCAAAUGGCGCCCGCCCCCGCCCCACCCCGCUCCACCUCACGCCGGAGAAAAGCCCGGGAGCGGCGCUCGCCUCACGCACCGAGGAGGAGACCAUGCCUGGGGUGGCGGCGGUGGAGGAGGUGGUGGCGGCUCUGGUGGCGGUGCCCGGCCGCGGCUCCACGGGAUAGCGCCGCGCACCUCGCCACCCUUCCCGGCCGAGGCUGGAGCGGCGCGUGUCUGGAAGGGGGCUGAUCUGGUAGAGCUGUCAACGGCAACUGAACACUGUCCCACCCCCGCUAGCUUUCCCAAAGCACUGCUUAUCCUGGUCUCUGGUGCCUUUCUCUUGCGCAGCACUUUGCCCUUGAGGUAGAAGCAUAUCUCCAGUGAAGCCACCAGUUGUCUGACAGUAGGCAGCCUGGGCAGAUGGAGAGAUCCGUGCAGAAGGAGAGGCUGCAGCCUGAACCCUUCCCACCACCUUGACAUACAUGCCUAGGAAACUGGAUUGUGCUGGCUCAGUUCCUUAGAAAAUAACUUAUGUUAUACUGCUGUUUUAUUUUUACCUCAUCUCAAAUCAAACUAUUACUUCCUCUUUGGAUAUUUUAAAUAUGGAAGAAGAGCAGGAAUUUAAUUUCAGUGUUUAGCCCCAGAUUACUUCAUAAUACUGUAGAAGUGUGUGAUGGAAGGGAUGGGACUACAACCCCACCUUUUUCUUAAUUGUAUUAUAAUGUACUUCAGAUAUCGUGCUUCUCAUAAUGUUAAUUCCUUUUUGUUAAAAUAGCUAUUUUAACUUGCUUCCUCCUUUUGUUAGUUUUUUCUUGCAGUAAUGAUUCAUUAGAGACCCAGAAGCUUCAAGGAUUAUUGUAGCUGUUCUGUAUAAGGACUGUUCCCAGAAUGAAGCAUGUUGUGUGACAGGACACAAACUGAUAUAGUUCAGCUUUAUUUCCUUAUUUCUCAUUUGUAUUUGUUUAAAUGGGGUCUGUUAUGCUGGUCUCUUUUGCUCACUUGUCUUCUGUUUCUUUCUCCAUGGUAGCUUGAUUAAUGUUAUGUCAUCAUCUUCCUUCACAUACAAUGUAUUUAUUGCCAUGUGUUUGGAACCUAGAGGAGAAAACAUCUACACAUGCUUUUUUCAGAUUAAUAAUGCAUUACUUUUACCUUUUGUGUGCUGUCCUUUCUUAACUUUGUGGGGAAAAGUGCUGACCAAAAUACACAUUGAGGAUAUGUUUAAGACGUGUAUGAUUUGUCAAGAGCCAAUCCAUAUUCAGUUUUUGGAGAGAGGAGAAAACAAACAUGUAUGCAUGCAAAAAAUGCAACCCUUCUUUUAAUAAACCUUUUCAUUUUUUUUAUUCCUUAUGCUCUUUGUAUUUCUGCUGUAUGUUGACAUCUCAGAUCUUGAAGUUUGCAGGUGAUGUUUCUCUCUGCUGUAAAUUAGUAGGUCAUGUUUACGUCAGUGAUUGUUCCAUAUCUGUAGCUUUCUAGCAAAGAUGUAGUGGGAACGUUCACUAGGUUUCACUCACAGCAGCAGGAAAGCUGGGAGUGGUAGGAUGGCCACAGUCACUGCUGCAGGAUGCUUGUGCCAUCUCCUAUGAGGUGUUUGCACUCACAGCAUCCUGAGGUCUGGCCUGGGCUGAUCCUCAGACCAGACUCGCCAUCUGUGCAGGCAGGCGUGCGUGCAGGACUGCCUGGGGAGGUAUGGGAGGGCUCCUGAUGGAUCAGGGUGACACCAAGCAGCUUAGCCACUGGGGUAAGUGGGUCAGGAGCCUGCUGGGCUCCAGCUUGCUCCUGAGGCCGCUGCUGGGGUCAGAGCCUUCAUGCCACGGGUAGGCUGCAGGUGGAACAGAGCAGGCAACUCUUCUUGCUGACUGCUGAGAGGUGAAACCUCUGAAAGGCAUUAAGCACAGUAUGAUGGUGACCUUUGUAGUUACUGCGUACCGACACCAACCACUUCCUAAGGGUGCGGCAUGCGUUAUCUCAUCUCCAGCUCAGAUUGUAAACAGUUACAAGCCUAGAAGUUCAUGGUCUUCAUCCGCUCAUGUUCACCUGUAAGGUGUAAGUUUAUCUCAGGGUUUCAAGCUAGCUUGUUUAUCUUCUAAGUGACAUGACAAUCAGUGGCCUUGGGGAAUGUUAUGCUGGGUGUGCUUGUGCUGUGUGUCUUGCACUAAGCAGUGCUGCUGAGCCUGGCAACUGUCCAUGCUGUUGUUGGCUCCAGUAUGUUUGUUUGGUCCUACCCUGUACUUUGGAGCUAUAUGACUGCAAGGGAGCCCAUCUCCACCAUGUGAUUUCAUCCUUGUCUCUGCUGCAGUUCCUCAUCUCUGCUGCUUGCCUGAGCAAAAGGCACCAGAACUUGGCUGGCAUCAAAUGGCUGCCCUUAUUGAGUAUCAGACUUGGUGGUAUUCUGAGUAUGUAGUGCCCCACACUUACCUCCUUCUUCCAUGAUGUGAUAUCCUGCUGGAACAGCAGUCUUAGACGUGGGCUUUGUAUAGAUUUGUGUCUGAAAAUCCAUUCCCAAGUACUUCAAUGGCUGUUAUUUGGGGUGAAGUAUGUAAUUCUUGCUUGUUUUCCUGUGCCCUCUGCAUCUGUGAAGAGGCACGUUAGUAGGAUGAUAACCCACUUUUCUUUCAUCUUUUGUUUCAGGUUGACAUUGUUUGAAAAAUCUGACUUGAGAGGGAGCGGCAAUCUAGUUCUAGCUUCAGUUCACGUUGGAUAUUUAGUUUAAAAUCAGGUUAUGACAAAUCCUUAGACGACUCAUAAAUCCGAAAAGUGUGAUAGUCUUUUUAGCAAACUGUCAGUUAGCGCUAAAUAUUUUCACCAGUCAUUUCACAUUUCCAUUAGCUCCUUAAACAGCUGAGGUUCACAGAUUUGAAUGGAAUAUAAUGUUUAUGGCUGUGUUCACUGCCUUUCAAUUUAGACUACUGCUUUGAAGCUUUAUUGUAGUUUGAGGUGGAAGUGUUUUCAGAAAGUUGAUCAUGUGUUUGAUUUCUGUUGUCUGAAAGAUCUGCAUGGCUUGUUUUUUCCCUCGUCCCCCUCCAUAAUUCUACUAUACCGGUCUCCAGACCAACACUGGCCUGUUUAUCUUUCAUUGGUGGAAAUUGUCCCAUUUGAAUGGGAUGGGUUGGUGUAGCUGUAAAUAUCAAAGAAACAGGAAUCAAAGAAUCAUGGAGUAUCCAGAGUUGGAAGAGACCCUAACGAUCAUCGAGUCCAACUCCUGGGUCUGCUCAGGACCACCCAAAAUCAAACCACGUGUCUGAGAGCAUUGUCCAAAUGCUCCUUGAACUCUGUCAGGCUCAGUGCCGUGACCACUGCCCUAGGGAGCCUGUCACAGUGCCCAACCACCCUCUGGGUGCAGAACCUUUUCCUAACACCCAGCCUGACCCUCCCCUGUCCCAGCUCCAUGCCAUUCCUUCGGGUCCUGUCGCUGUCCCCAGAGAGCAGAGCUCAGCGCCUGCCCCUCCGCUCCCCUCGUGAGGGAGCUGCAGGCCGCCAUGAGGCCUCCCCUCGGCCUGCUCUGCUCUGGGAUGAACAAACCCAGGGACCUCAGCCGCUCCUCAUGUGUCUUCCUCUCUAGACCCUUCACCAUCUUUGUAGCCCUUCUUUGGAUGCUCUCUAAUAGCUUUAUGUCCCUCUGAUACUGUGGUGCCUGAAACUACACACAGUGCUCGAGGUGAGGACUCAGCAGCACAGAGUGGGAGAGUUGAGGCUGAGGAAGGGUUGAGCCAUCACGUCCACUCAUCGUGCCAAUAAAAGCAUUAUACUUUUUCUGGCAAGCAAACCUGCAGCUUCAGGAGGGAUCACUGGAAGGCAGCAGGGGCACUUGGGAUUCCUGCUUUUUCCUCUCACCUUUCCUCAUACAGCUUUAGUUCUCACCCCUCGAGGCUGACCUGCUCUUUUCAUUGAAAUAACUGUGUAUUUUUCAGUGUGAUACCAUAAAAUUCUAAUCUUCAAGUGUGAAAGAAGGACAAAGAUGGUGCUCUUCUCUCCUCUUUCUGAGUAACAGCUUUUGUGCUGCCCUAGACAGUGUUAACUAGAACUAUCCCUUGGAGAGGGCCAGAGUAAACCAGUAUGUGGAUGUGCACAUCUGUAUGUUCUAUCAAAGUCACCUUACUUAACAUGAAAAUCCACUUCUAAAUAUUUAGGGAGCUUUCAUAUGUGACUUCUUUAACGUGUGACGUGGGAAUUGUCCACUACUGUUGUUUGAUGGUUUUGAAGAACUUGGAAUAUUCAGGGUUUGAUGUGAAAGAGGAAAUUCUUGUUCUGUCUCAAUUUCUUUGCAGUGAAAGUAACUUAAGGGAAGUAGGCUUAGAAAAAUGAUGUACAGUCCUGCCUGUGCAAUCUUAAAUGAGGACAUGAGAUAUAGGCACAUCAUAUUUUAAUGCACGUACAAAUGCUUAAGAGGGCUUCAAUAGCUCUGUCUUCUGUGGUGCAUCAUGAUAUGCUUAGGGAUUCUAAGUGUGUCAAAUUGACUUUUUCUUUAAUUUAGGUGGCUUAUGCCAUUUAUAAUUAAUAUAGACCUACGGUGUUGAGAACUCAGCAGGGAUCAGAGAAUGUUUUGUGAUUUGCCUGAGAUUUUUUUCAAAAUACAAUGUUCUCAUAUUUCUCUAAAACUCUCCAUAAGCUUGCUUUUAAUAAUAGUAAUAAUAAACCACUUCAAUUUCUUUUCUUCUAAUCAGCACUCAUUCAGUACAUUGAAACAAAUAAAAAGAGGAUAUAUUU
rnacentral:lncRNA from 1 species